GUGCUCUCAUCGGCAGCACAUAUACUAAAAACUGGAAUGAUAAAGAGAAGAUUAACAUGGCCCCUGCACAAAGAUGACAUGCAAAUUCAUGAAGCCUUCCAUAAUUUU